GCUUACGGCCAUACCACCUUAGGCACGCCCGAUCUCGUCUGAUCUCGGAAGCUAAGCAGGGUCGGGGCUGGUUAGUACUUGGAUGGGUGACUGUCUGGGAAUACCAGGUGCUGUAAGCA
rnacentral:rRNA from 10 species